GGGCCUGUAGCUCAGGGGUUAGAGCAGCCGGCUCAUAACCGGCCGGUCCUAGGUUCGAAUCCUAGUGGGCCCACCA
rnacentral:tRNA from 1 species